ensembl:lncRNA
GUCUUAGGCAUCGCCCCUUGGUCCCCCCUGGAAGGCUGAGAUGCUGCGUGUCAGAGGGAAGGGGGUGAUGGGCAGCAAGGAAGAGCAAGGGAGACUGACAUCACUUACUACUCCAAUUCCACCUUUCACUUGUCAAGGAAGCGCUUUGGGAGGUGGUGGCUCCCCUGGCAGAAGAGCCAAGGCCAUCCUGACUCUCAGAGGAAACUGACUUCUCCCUAACAGCUGAGCGGACUCAUUGAUUCAUGAAAACAGGAACUGUUAGAAGAAACCUCCAGGUUCUCAGAACCACAUCUCUAUGCUUCCCUACAUCUCUGUCCACACGCACCACCUUCUCUUCUGUUGCUUUGGAAGAACGGACUCAAAGCCACCCCUCCACUGACACACUUGAUGUCAUCUCUGAUCGACUCAAAGUACCAUCCCAGGAACUCUACCCUCGCUGUCCUAUGUAUCCAUUUCCAUCUCCUGGACUUUCCAUCAGAACACAAAUAUAAUUUUAUUUAUCUUUCUUUGGACUUCGCUGGUGAUCCAGUGGCUAAGACUCUGAGCUUCCAAUGCAGUGGGUCCGGGUUCCAUCCCUGGUCAGGGAACUAGAUCACACGUGCCUCAUCUAAAGAUCCCAUGUGCUGCAGCUAAGACCCGGCGUAGCCAAGUAAAUAAGUAAACAUUAAAAAUAAUAAAUAAUUAAAUAAUUUAACCCUUUCUUGACUUCACUUCCCCUCCAGCUGGCAGCCCAUUCUUU